UGGGCGUUAAGUUGCAGGGUAUAGACCCGAAACCCGGUGAUCUAGCCAUGGGCAGGUUGAAGGUUGGGUAACACUAACUGGAGGACCGAACCGACUAAUGUUGAAAAAUUAGCGGAUGACCUGUGGCUGGGGGUGAAAGGCCAAUCAAACCGGGAGAUAGCUGGUUCUCCCCGAAAGCUAUUUAGGUAGCGCCUCGUGAAUUCAUCUCCGGGGGUAGAGCACUGUUUCGGCUAGGGGGCCAUCCCGGCUUACCAACCCGAUGCAAACUGCGAAUACCGGAGAAUGUUAUCACGGGAGACACACGGCGGGUGCUAACGUCCGUCGUGAAGAGGGAAACAACCCAGACCGCCAGCUAAGGUCCCAAAGUCAUGGUUAAG
rnacentral:rRNA from 1 species